rnacentral:lncRNA from 10 species
AAAUGAGGUGUGCCUGUAAAUGUUGCUGAGUGAAUGAGUAUGACUGGGGCAAGCAGAGACGUGCCCAUGAGUCAGGACUGCAGAAGAGCACUUUUUGCAUGGAAAGGAUAUCAAAAAUGAAGUACUCAAAGAGAACUGCAUCAUGAAGGAGAAACUUGGAUUUGUGAUUCAGGCAAGUCCAGGUUCAAAUCCUGGCUCUGCAAUUUACCAGCUGCAGAAACUUGGAUAUUUAGAACAGAUGAAGAUGAUCCCAAAUAAGGAUAUUUGGUGUCCCUGAAGUAGAGAACUCAAAACUAUGGAAUAGAAAGAGGAAGGACCUUCAAGCAUCUCAAAACAGAAAGUAUCAAAGAACUGAAACUCAUCAGAUCACCACAUCCAGACAGUGAGGCUGGACCACUAAUUCAUCAUGAUUGAUUCCAUGCUCCUCCCUAGUUCCUAGUUUCUGUUUUCUUGCAUAUUGUUACAUUUCUUCCCUGCUAUAUACACCUCUAGUUUUAGUAGUUCAGGGAGAUGGAUUUGAGACUGAACUCCCAUCUCUUUGGCUGUAGCACCCUAUUAAAAGACUUCCUCCUCCGUGA